ACAUCACACAACAUACAGUUUAUAAUCAACCUUUGUAUUACUCGUGAAAUAUAAGUAUUCAUUCUACAUCACGUCGUCAUCAAUCAAAACAUCUCUCCGGAGGCUGUAAAAGGCACGACGAGAGAGCGACAAGCGAAGCGGGCAGCAACCAACGUUCACCGUCGAGCUUGCCGUAACAGUAAUUUUUCGUAUGUGUAUCCCUCGAGAGCUUGCGUUGAAAGAAUAACGGAAGGGAAAACGCAAGAGCAUUUCACAAAAUUUAUAAAAUACUCCAAAUCUGAAAAUUCUUCGCAGAAACCACUAAAACUGUUUAGCACUGAAUGAAGGCAAUCAUAAAUACAACAAAAAUUGUGGGAUUAAACGAACCGUGAAUAAACUAAGGAUUAAACGAGAGCAAGAUGAGCCAGAUUUCAAAAACAUGGAAGAGCGAAAUAAGAGAAGAAGAGAUACACGUUAUGUGGAGAAGAGAGUGGUUUAAUUCAUAAUUACAGAAAGAUAACCCAAGAAAAUAUUGUAAUAAUAAAAACAUCGGACGUCUCCAAUGACAUGGAUGAAAUAAACCAGUUAAGACGAUAAACUGAUUAUAAUAAAACGAAGAGAAAUAAAACAGACGAAAGUUAGAUUAAGAAAGUCAGCAGCUAAUCAACGAUAAAUUUCAAAAAAAACGUAAAAUUAACAUGCGUUAGUCAUUAAUAGUAAUAUAUCUCUGA